CCUACGGGAGGCAGCAGUGAGGAAUAUUGGUCAAUGGGCGGAAGCCUGAACCAGCCAAGUAGCGUGCAGGAUGACGGCCCUACGGGUUGUAAACUGCUUUUAUACGGGAAUAACGCGCCUUACGUGUAGGGCUUUGCAUGUACCGUAUGAAUAAGGACCGGCUCAUUCCGUGCCAGCAGCCGCGGUAAUACGGAAGGUCCGGGCGUUUUCCGGAUUUAUUGGGGUUAAGGGGCGCGUAGGCCGCAUGUCAAGCGUGCUGUGAAAUGUCCGGGCGCAACCCGGGCCUUGAAGCGCGAACUGGCGUGCGUGAGUCCGCGGAAAGCAGGCGGAAUGCGUGGUGUAGCGGUGAAAUGCUUAGAUAUGACGAAGAACCCCGAUUGCGAAGGCAGCUUGCUGCAGCGGAACUGACGCUGAUGCUCGAAAGCGCGGGUAUCGAACAGGAUUAGAUACCCGGGUAGUC
rnacentral:rRNA from 1 species